CUGAAGAGCACAGUGUACUGCACCGCUAUUGCUGCUGGUGGUGAGAAGGAGUGGAACUUUGGCUGGAACCAGUACCUCGCCUCCAACGUUGGCUCUGAGAAAUCUCUACUACUGUCUGCUCUGGGAUGUACCAAGAAAGUCUGGAUCCUGUCUAGGUACCUCGACAUGGCUUUCACAAACAGCAGCGGUAUUAGGAAACAGGAUGCAGGAACAGCGUUCGAGGGUGUAGCCAGGAACAGUGUAGGACACUACCUUGCCUGGAACUAUAUUAGAGAGAAUUGGGAGAAAAUUAUUGACUACUAUGGGUCCGGCCUAUUUACCAUCCCUCGCUUAGUUAAAUCGACUACUGAGUCCUUAAACACAGACUUGGAACUGAAGGAGGUGAGUCAACAUACCUAGUUGUUGUGAG